CCUGACUGCUAUCGGAUUGAUACUAAGCCAUGCGAGUCAUUGUAGCAAUACAAGGCAGACGGCUCAGUANNGCGUAGUCAAUCUACCCUAUGGACGGGAAUAACCUCGGGAAACUGAGAAUAAUGCCCGAUAGAACAUUAUGCCUGGAAUGGUUUAUGUUUCAAAUGAUUUAUCGCCAUAGGAUGGGACUGCGGCCUAUCAGUUUGUUGGUGAGGUAAUGGCCCACCAAGACUAUUACAGGUACGGGCUCUGAGAGGAGUAGCCCGGAGAUGGGUACUGAGACACGGACCCAGGCCCUAUGGGGCGCAGCAGGCGAGAAAACUUUGCAAUGUGCGAAAGCACAACAAGGUUAAUCCGAGUGGUUUCUGCUAAAGAAACCUUUUGUCAGUCCUAAAAACACUAACGAAUAAGGGGUGGGCAAGUUCUGGUGUCAGCCGCCGCGGUAAAACCAGCACCUCAAGUGGUCAGGAUGAUUAUUGGGCCUAAAGCAUCCGUAGCUCGUUUUGUAAGUUCUCGGUUAAAUCCAUGCGCUUAACGUAUGGGCUGCCGGGAAUACUGCAUAACUAGGAAGUGGGAGAGGUAGACGGUACUCGGGAGGAAGGGGUAAAAUCCUUUGAUCUCUUGAUGACCACCUGUGGCGAAGGCGGUCUACCAGAACACGUUCGACGGUGAGGGAUGAAAGCUGGGGGAGCAAACCGGAUUAGAUACCCGGGUAGUCCCAGCUGUAAACUAUGCAAACUCAGUGAUGCAUUGGCUUAUGGCCAAUGCAGUGCUGCAGGGAAGCCGUUAAGUUUGCCGCCUGGGAAGUACGUACGCAAGUAUGAAACUUAAAGGAAUUGGCGGGGGAGCACCACAAGGGGUGAAGCCUGCGGUUCAUUGGAGUCANCGCC
rnacentral:rRNA from 1 species